AUACAUGCAGUCGAGCGGACAGAUGGGAGCUUGCUCCCUGAUGUUAGCGGCGGACGGGUGAGUAACACGUGGGUAACCUGCCUGUAAGACUGGGAUAACUCCGGGAAACCGGGGCUAAUACCGGAUGCUUGUUUGAACCGCAUGGUUCAACAUAAAAGGUGGCUUCGGCUACCACUUACAGAUGGACCCGCGGCGCAUUAGCUGGUUGGUGAGGUAAUGGCUCACCAAGGCGACGAUGCGUAGCCGACCUGA
rnacentral:rRNA from 1 species